rnacentral:rRNA from 1 species
AUUGAACGCUGGCGGCAGGCAUAACACAUGCAAGUCGAGCGGAGCGGCGGACGGGUGCGUAAUGCCUAGGAAUCUGCCUGGUAGUGUGGGAUAACGUCCGGAAACGGGCGCUAAUACCGCAUACUAUCAGAUGAGCCUAGGGCGGAUUAGCUAGUUGGUGGGGUAAAGGCCUACCAAGGCGACGCUCCGUAACUGGGCUGAGCGGAUGAUCCGUCACACUAGAACUGAGACACGGUCCAGACUCCUACGGGAGGCAGCAGUGGGGAAUAUUGGACAAUGGGCGAAAGCCGGAUCCAGCCAUGCCGCGUGUGUGAAGAAGGUCUUCGGAUUGUAAAGCACUUUAAGUUGGGAGGCGUUACCAACAGAAUAAGCACCGGCUUACUUCGUGCCAGCAGCCGCGGUAAUAC